rnacentral:rRNA from 1 species
UUGUGAGGUUAAGCGACUAAGCGUACACGGUGGAUGCCCUGGCAGUCAGAGGCGAUGAAGGACGUGCUAAUCUGCGAUAAGCGUCGGUGAGGUGAUAUGAACCGUUAUAACCGGCGAUUUCCGAAUGGGGAAACCCAGUGUGUUUCGACACACUAUCAUUAACUGAAUCCAUAGGUUAAUGAGGCGAACCGGGGGAACUGAAACAUCUAAGUACCCCGAGGAAAAGAAAUCAACCGAGAUUCCCCCAGUAGCGGCGAGCGAACGGGGAGGAGCCCAGAGCCUGAAUCAGUGUGUGUGUUAGUGGAAGCGUCUGGAAAGGCGCGCGAUACAGGGUGACAGCCCCGUACACAAAAAUGCACAUAUUGUGAGCUCGAUGAGUAGGGCGGGACACGUGGUAUCCUGUCUGAAUAUGGGGGGACCAUCCUCCAAGGCUAAAUACUCCUGACUGACCGAUAGUGAACCAGUACCGUGAGGGAAAGGCGAAAAGAACCCCGGCGAGGGGAGUGAAAAAGAACCUGAAACCGUGUACGUACAAGCAGUGGGAGCCUCUUAAUGGGGUGACUGCGUACCUUUUGUAUAAUGGGUCAGCGACUUAUAUUCUGUAGCAAGGUUAACCGAAUAGGGGAGCCGGAGGGAAACCGAGUCUUAACUGGGCGUUAAGUUGCAGGGUAUAGACCCGAAACCCGGUGAUCUAGCCAUGGGCAGGUUGAAGGUUGGGUAACACUAACUGGAGGACCGAACCGACUAAUGUUGAAAAAUUAGCGGAUGACUUGUGGCUGGGGGUGAAAGGCCAAUCAAACCGGGAGAUAGCUGGUUCUCCCCGAAAGCUAUUUAGGUAGCGCCUCGUGAAUUCAUCUCCGGGGGUAGAGCACUGUUUCGGCAAGGGGGUCAUCCCGACUUACCAACCCGAUGCAAACUGCGAAUACCGGAGAAUGUUAUCACGGGAGACACACGGCGGGUGCUAACGUCCGUCGUGAAGAGGGAAACAACCCAGACCGCCAGCUAAGGUCCCAAAGUCAUGGUUAAGUGGGAAACGAUGUGGGAAGGCCCAGACAGCCAGGAUGUUGGCUUAGAAGCAGCCAUCAUUUAAAGAAAGCGUAAUAGCUCACUGGUCGAGUCGGCCUGCGCGGAAGAUGUAACGGGGCUAAACCAUGCACCGAAGCUGCGGCAGCGACGCUUAUGCGUUGUUGGGUAGGGGAGCGUUCUGUAAGCCUGCGAAGGUGUGCUGUGAGGCAUGCUGGAGGUAUCAGAAGUGCGAAUGCUGACAUAAGUAACGAUAAAGCGGGUGAAAAGCCCGCUCGCCGGAAGACCAAGGGUUCCUGUCCAACGUUAAUCGGGGCAGGGUGAGUCGACCCCUAAGGCGAGGCCGAAAGGCGUAGUCGAUGGGAAACAGGUUAAUAUUCCUGUACUUGGUGUUACUGCGAAGGGGGGACGGAGAAGGCUAUGUUGGCCGGGCGACGGUUGUCCCGGUUUAAGCGUGUAGGCUGGUUUUCCAGGCAAAUCCGGAAAAUCAAGGCUGAGGCGUGAUGACGAGGCACUACGGUGCUGAAGCAACAAAUGCCCUGCUUCCAGGAAAAGCCUCUAAGCAUCAGGUAACAUCAAAUCGUACCCCAAACCGACACAGGUGGUCAGGUAGAGAAUACCAAGGCGCUUGAGAGAACUCGGGUGAAGGAACUAGGCAAAAUGGUGCCGUAACUUCGGGAGAAGGCACGCUGAUAUGUAGGUGAAGCGACUUGCUCGUGGAGCUGAAAUCAGUCGAAGAUACCAGCUGGCUGCAACUGUUUAUUAAAAACACAGCACUGUGCAAACACGAAAGUGGACGUAUACGGUGUGACGCCUGCCCGGUGCCGGAAGGUUAAUUGAUGGGGUUAGCGGUAACGCGAAGCUCUUGAUCGAAGCCCCGGUAAACGGCGGCCGUAACUAUAACGGUCCUAAGGUAGCGAAAUUCCUUGUCGGGUAAGUUCCGACCUGCACGAAUGGCGUAAUGAUGGCCAGGCUGUCUCCACCCGAGACUCAGUGAAAUUGAACUCGCUGUGAAGAUGCAGUGUACCCGCGGCAAGACGGAAAGACCCCGUGAACCUUUACUAUAGCUUGACACUGAACAUUGAGCCUUGAUGUGUAGGAUAGGUGGGAGGCUUUGAAGUGUGGACGCCAGUCUGCAUGGAGCCGACCUUGAAAUACCACCCUUUAAUGUUUGAUGUUCUAACGUUGGCCCCUGAUCGGGGUUGCGGACAGUGUCUGGUGGGUAGUUUGACUGGGGCGGUCUCCUCCUAAAGAGUAACGGAGGAGCACGAAGGUUGGCUAAUCCUGGUCGGACAUCAGGAGGUUAGUGCAAUGGCAUAAGCCAGCUUGACUGCGAGCGUGACGGCGCGAGCAGGUGCGAAAGCAGGUCAUAGUGAUCCGGUGGUUCUGAAUGGAAGGGCCAUCGCUCAACGGAUAAAAGGUACUCCGGGGAUAACAGGCUGAUACCGCCCAAGAGUUCAUAUCGACGGCGGUGUUUGGCACCUCGAUGUCGGCUCAUCACAUCCUGGGGCUGAAGUAGGUCCCAAGGGUAUGGCUGUUCGCCAUUUAAAGUGGUACGCGAGCUGGGUUUAGAACGUCGUGAGACAGUUCGGUCCCUAUCUGCCGUGGGCGCUGGAGAACUGAGGGGGGCUGCUCCUAGUACGAGAGGACCGGAGUGGACGCAUCACUGGUGUUCGGGUUGUCAUGCCAAUGGCACUGCCCGGUAGCUAAAUGCGGAAGAGAUAAGUGCUGAAAGCAUCUAAGCACGAAACUUGCCCCGAGAU